rnacentral:rRNA from 1 species
GAGCGAAACGGAAACAGCCCAAACCAGAGAGCUUGCUCUCUGGGGUUGUAGGACACUCCACAAGGAGUUACAAAGAAAUUCUUUAGAUGAAUCAACCUGGAAAGGUUAGCCAAAGAGGGUAACAGCCCUGUAAUCGAAAAAGAAUUUCCUCCGGAGUGGAUCCUGAGUACGGCGGAACACGUGGAAUUCCGUCGGAAUCCGGGAGGACCAUCUCCCAAGGCUAAAUACUCCCUAGUGACCGAUAGUGAACCAGUACCGUGAGGGAAAGGUGAAAAGCACCCCGGGAGGGGAGUGAAAGAGUACCUGAAACCGUGUGCCUACAAGUAGUCGAAGCGCGUUAAUGCGUAACGGCGUACCUUUUGUAGAAUGGACCGGCGAGUUACGAUUGUAUGCGAGGUUAAGUGGAAGACACGGAGCCGUAGCGAAAGCGAGUCUGAAUAGGGCGAUUUAGUAUGCGGUCGUAGACCCGAAACCGUGUGAUCUACCCAUGUCCAGGGUGAAGGUCAGGUAAUACUGACUGGAGGCCCGAACCCACGUAUGUUGAAAAAUGCGGGGAUGAGGUGUGGGUAGGGGUGAAAUGCCAAUCGAACACGGAGAUAGCUGGUUCUCUCCGAAAUAGCUUUAGGGCUAGCCUCAAGAUGAUGAGUACUGGAGGUAGAGCACUGAUUGGACUAGGGGCCCUCAUCGGGUUACCGAAUUCAGUCAAACUCCGAAUGCCAGAUACUUAAACUUGGGAGUCAGACUAUGGGUGAUAAGGUUCAUAGUCGAAAGGGAAACAGCCCAGACCACCAGCUAAGGUCCCAAAGUAUACGUUAAGUGGAAAAGGAUGUGGAGUUGCUUAGACAACCAGGAUGUUGGCUUAGAAGCAGCCACCAUUUAAAGAGUGCGUAAUAGCUCACUGGUCGAGUGACUCUGCGCCGAAAAUGUACCGGGGCUAAACGUAUCACCGAAGCUGUGGAUUGUUCUUACGAACAAUGGUAGGAGAGCGUUCUAAGUGCUGUGAAGUCAGACCGUGAGGACUGGUGGAGCGCUUAGAAGUGAGAAUGCCGGUAUGAGUAGCGAAAAAAGAGUGAGAAUCUCUUUCACCGAAUGCCUAAGGUUUCCUGAGGAAGGCUCGUCCUCUCAGGGUUAGUCGGGACCUAAGCCGAGGCCGAAAGGCGUAGGCGAUGGACAACAGGCAGAUAUUCCUGUACC